CUGUGAAGUGGAGCGAACCCCUAAAAGCCGUCCCAGUUCAGAUUGCAGUCUGCAACUCGACUGCAUGAAGUCGGAAUCGCUAGUAAUCGCGGAUCAGCAUGCCGCGGUGAAUACGUUCCCGGGCCUUGUACACACCGCCCGUCACACCAUGAGAGUCGGGAACACCCGAAGUCCGUAGCCUAACUGCAAAGGGGGCGCGGCCGAAGGUGGGUUCGAUAAUUGGGGUGAAGUCGUAACAAGGUAUC
rnacentral:rRNA from 1 species